ACAGAAAGUGAAACAACCGACAGCGUUCCAAGCGAUGAAGAAAAUGCAGAGGGCAGACUUCAUUGGCAGAAGAAAAACAUUGAGGGCAAACAGUAUCUCAGCAAUCUGGGAAUGAGGAACACUUCUCAUAUGCUUCCCAGCAUGGCAACGUUUGUAGCCAACAAGCCUGACCUCCAAGUCACCAUCAAAGAAGAAAGCUGCCCACUGCCUUACAACAGCUCCUGGCCCCCUUUCCCAGACAUCCCUCUGCCACAAGUAGUGUCCACAGCCUCCACGAGCAGCAGCCGGCCGGACCGUGAGACACGGGCCAGCGUCAUCAAGAAAACGUCAGACAUCACCCAGUCGAGAGUCAAGAGCUGCUAAGCCUUUGACAGUGUGGUUUUUUAGCUUUGUUUUGUUUGGUUUUGUAUUUUACGUUUCUCUAGGAGAGGUUCAUCCCUUGACGCACACAAGACAAACCUAAGGUAAAGCCUUGGCAAUAUAAAACAUUGCUGUGUCCGACUCCGGUGCCGGAGUGUUUUUAACUCAGGACUCCAGCUGUCAGUGUGUACACCUGAACCCAGGCGGAUUUCCAAGGUCGCUGCAUAGGAAAACAACCCAAGAACUUUGGCCCACUCGCAGGUUCCAGUGUUGUCAGAAGAGGACCAACCGACCACAGGGGAAGUGGUGCUGCUGCGCUUCUUGCUGUCAAGGCUGCGAUGGAACUGAAAGCCUCAGAAUGGAAGAGAAAAUGUGAACUAGCUGGAAUAUUUUUAAAUAAAGAAAAAUCUAUUGUGAAUAUUGUACAUAGUGCAGUACUAGCAACGUUGCAGUCUGCUUCUGCACCUUAUUAAGAAAGCACUUACGAAAGGCCUUUUAUUACCUUGCUCUACUUAAUGGCACAUUGAAGGUCCCUCCCCACCUGUAUUCUUUUCCAAGGCUAUUCUUGCUAAAGUGUCUUUAAAGAAUAGAGGAAAGGAAAGGAAGUUAAAACUUCCCGUGUGGAUUUCAUACGUUUUAAGACUGCUUUUCUCAUGUUUGUUUCUAAUCUGCUAUGCUUGAAUGCCGCGUGGUACAAUAGGAAAAAAAAAAGAUACCUAUUACAGAGAUAUUAUGCAAAUUCCCAGAUUUAAAAAAAGAAGAAGAAAAAUACUCUAAUUCUAACCAGAGCAAGCUUUUUUAUUUUUUAUACAGGGGAAUAUUUUAUUCAAAGUAAAAUUCUAAAGUGAAUAUAAUUUUUUUUAAUCUUUUCUACAGCAAAUUUAUAAUUUUAAGAUUCAGUCCUUGGUUAUCAGCAGUUAUUACAUCCUUGUGGCACAUUUUUUUUUUUUAAUUUUGUAAAGGUGAAAUAGCUUUUAUGAGCUCAUGUAGCAAUCAGAUUAUCCUGUGGAUUGAUAAUAAAUAUGGUAUAUAUAGUUAAAUUUU